GACGAACGCUGGCGGCAUGCCUAAUACAUGCAAGUCGAGCAGACAGAAGGGAGCUUGCUCCCGGAAGUCAGCGGCGGACGGGUGAGUAACACGUGGGCAACCUGCCCCUUAGAUUGGGAUAACUUCGGGAAACCGAAGCUAAUACCAAAUAAUACAAGGAACCUCCUGGUUCUCUGUUGAAAGAUGGCCUUUGUGCUGUCACUAAGGGAUGGGCCCGCGGCGCAUUAGCUAGUUGGUAAGGUAACGGCUUACCAAGGCGACGAUGCGUAGCCGACCUGAGAGGGUGAUCGGCCACACUGGGACUGAGACACGGCCCAGACUCCUACGGGAGGCAGCAGUAGGGAAUCUUCCGCAAUGGACGAAAGUCUGACGGAGCAAUGCCGCGUGAGUGAGGAAGGCCUUCGGGUCGUAAAGCUCUGUUGUGAGGGAAGAACAAGUACCGGCGUAACUACCGGUACCGUGACGGUACCUCACCAGAAAGCCACGGCUAACUACGUGCCAGCCGCCGCCGUAA
rnacentral:rRNA from 1 species